ACCACGGAUGGAGAUAUUGUUGG
rnacentral:siRNA from 1 species